rnacentral:rRNA from 1 species
UGGGGAAUAUUGCACAAUGGGGGAAACCCUGAUGCAGCGACGCCGCGUGAACGAAGAAGGUAUUCGUAUCGUAAAGUUCUGUCCUAUGGGAAGAUAAUGACAGUACCAUAGAAGAAAGCUCCGGCUAAAUACGUGCCAGCAGCCGCGGUAAUACGUAUGGAGCGAGCGUUGUCCGGAAUUAUUGGGCGUAAAGGGUACGCAGGCGGUUUAAUAAGUCGAAUGUUAAAGAUCGGGGCUCAACCCCGUAAAGCAUUGGAAACUGAUAAACUGGAGUAGUGGAGAGGAGAGUGGAAUUCCUAGUGUAGUGGUGAAAUACGUAGAUAUUAGGAGGAAUACCAGUAGCGAAGGCGACUUUCUGGACACAAACUGACGCUGAGGUACGAAAGCGUGGAGAGCAAGCAGG